UAGUGCAUGGAUACCGCUCCCACUUGUGUGAGCUAAAGUUUCAAAAAUUGUGCCGACGCUGAUUGCCUAACUGUAACGUAUUUUCGUGGAGAGAGUAGAUGUUUGCAUUUGAAAAUGGAAUGACGAAGGCUUACUACAGGGUGCGAGGCGCCCAAACUCAACACUUCUGUUUAUUGCCUUUAUUUAUUUAUUUAUCUAGUUUAAUUUUUUUUAGUAAAUUAGAAGCGUACAACAUUUUCAUAAAGCCUAAUCAGUCGAGACCAUCCAUGCACAAAACAAAAAUGAGUUAAAAACAUAUUAACGGUUAUUUUUUGUGGUUACAUAAACGUUGCUGACGCUCCAACAAAACUUUGUGCGCAUUGCUGAAAGAAUUCUCACUUCAGUUAAUAUAAUUUAACACAAUAAAAACAAAAACAAUUAUGGACAACUUUCGAGCGUGUGUAAAUUGGACUACCCUACUAGAUGGAAAUGUGAAUCACAAUAACUAAACUUAGUAGCACAUAAGUAUGUGAAGCGAGUGAAAUUAUACGCCAUUUCAUGUAUAUAUAACCAGUAAUUAACCAAAGCUUACUACUUGUUGCAAAAUUUUCAAAAUAUUACAAAAAUAUGCUAGAAAAGUGUUGAAAAAUUUUCAUGCUUUCCUGAAGCCUAGAAUUGAAGAAUGUGAGAAUUAUAAUCAUACCUACAUACAUAGAUGUAUAUGAAAUAUGCUAUAAAUUAAUUGUCAUUAUCAAAAUAAAUUGUUGUGUGUGUAUUAAUUAAAGUUUAUUAUGCUCUACUCAGUCCUUAAGUCAUCAUCUAGUAUGAAUAUUCGAAGACCUCAAAACAUGUUGCUGUUGUUUGGGAUUACAAAACAAAAAAAAAACAUAAUGA